rnacentral:rRNA from 1 species
AUGGAGGCCGAGACGGCGGCGAAGAGGGCGCGGGAGAACGAGGGCGCUGCGGCGGCGGACGGAGCCGGGGAGCAGGCGGGGGUCUCCGCCGUCAUCCCCGGAUGGUUCUCCGAGAUCAGCCCCAUGUGGCCCGGCGAGGCGCACUCGCUCAAGGUGGAGAAGGUCCUGUUCCAAGGCAAGUCGGACUACCAAGACGUGCUGGUUUUCCAGUCCUCCACCUACGGGAAGGUGCUCGUCCUGGAUGGGGUGAUCCAGGUGACCGAGAGGGAUGAGUGCGCCUACCAGGAGAUGAUCACCCACCUCCCUCUCUGCUCAAUCAAAGACCCCAAGAAGGUCCUGGUCAUCGGGGGCGGAGACGGCGGCGUUCUGCGCGAGGUCUCGCGGCACUCCUCGGUGGAGCAGAUCGACAUCUGCGAGAUCGACAAGAUGGUGGUCGAUGUGUCGAAGCAGUUCUUCCCUCACCUGGCCCUCGGGUUCGAGGACCCUCGCGUGUCCCUGCACAUCGGCGACGGCGUCGCCUUCCUGAAGAAUGCUCCAGAGGGCACCUAUGAUGCAGUGAUCGUCGAUUCCUCCGACCCAGUAGGCCCUGCCCAGGAGCUGUUCGAGAAGCCGUUCUUCGAGUCCGUCUCCAGGGCUCUGCGUCCGGGCGGGGUCGUCUGCACCCAGGCGGAGAGCAUAUGGCUGCACAUGCACAUCAUAGAGGACAUUGUCACCAACUGUCGCCAGGUUUUCAAAGGCUCGGUGAACUACGCAUGGACUACGGUGCCCACAUACCCAAGCGGAGUGAUAGGUUUCAUGCUCUGCUCCACGGAGGGACCUAGUGUUGAUUUCCAGCAUCCCGUCUUCAGCAUCGAGGAGGACGAAUACUCCACAAAAUCAAAGGGGCCGCUCAAGUUCUACAAUUCCGAGUUCCACACCGCAUCGUUUUGUUUGCCAUCAUUUGCGAGGAGGGUCAUUGAGGCCAAGGCUAACUAG